GGAAUAUUGGACAAUGGGCGCAAGCCUGAUCCAGCCAUGCCGCGUGCAGGAUGACGGUCCUAUGGAUUGUAAACUGCUUUUGCACAGGAAGAAACAACGCUACGUGUAGCGUCUUGACGGUACUGUGAGAAUAAGGAUCGGCUAACUCCGUGCCAGCAGCCGCGGUAAUACGGAGGAUCCAAGCGUUAUCCGGAAUCAUUGGGUUUAAAGGGUCCGUAGGCGGUCUUAUAAGUCAGUGGUGAAAUCUCCCCGCUCAACGGGGAAACGGCCAUUGAUACUGUAGGACUUGAAUUAUUAGGAAGUAACUAGAAUAUGUAGUGUAGCGGUGAAAUGCUUAGAGAUUACAUGGAAUACCAAUUGCGAAGGCAGGUUACUACUAAUGGAUUGACGCUGAUGGACGAAAGCGUGGGUAGCGAACAGGAUUAGAUACCCGUG
rnacentral:rRNA from 1 species